AGGCAGUAUGCUUGGUAAAAGUCAUCGCCAUUCUCUAAUCUUGAGUACCCAGGGACACGAUACACUGCGGAAGGCUGCAGGGACCUCUGCCCAGGAAAGCCAGGCUUGCAUGAAGGAAAUGAUUUCCUAUGAUUCUGCUUACUGCUUAAAAAAAUUAAUCAAGUUUUCUGCCUGACAAGGAUCACUCUAAGCUCCAGUGUCAAGGAGUCAAGUCCUUCAGGAAUUCUCUGCCUCCACUCCCUGUGGCAGAGCUAGAGUGGCUGCCAUGCUUCUGAGCUCAGCCAGCAUCCAGAGAGAGAGUGAGAUACAGCCUCCUCUUCUUGAAGCACCCACUUCUAAACUCUGUGACAGUUUUCUUGGAACUCUGUUAUGUGGAUCUGGAGAUGACAAUGUCACAGCACUCCCCUCUAAGCCUAAAUUCCCCCACACCGAUGAACUAUUAGGAUCCAGUAUCUGCCGGAGGAGCCCCACCUUCUGCUACUAUUAUGUUCUUCAGAUGAGUAGAAGAGAGUGGGGAGGGAGAGAGCAGGAAGAAGAAAGGAAGAAUAAUGUCUUGAAAUUGGUAAAAGCGUUUUUGUUUGCACAUCCUGCAUUAUUAAUAUUUCUUGUUUAGCAUAAUUAGCUACCCUCUCAAGCUUACACACAACCUGCAGUGUUUAUGCCUUCCGAUGAUAGCUAAACCAUCAGCAAAGCAGUCCAGGUCCCUGAAGGCUGAAUGCAGGUGGUUCUGAAGGCUGCAGGAUGCAUUCAAAAAGCAGGAUACAUAAGCUUUAAUUGUUGCUAAAAAUACAUUCACUAGAAGAAUCGGACUCCUUCUAUCUGUCUGGAGUGGAUAAAAGCCAACUAUGGAUUCAGUAGUCUAAAGAAAGUCGCAGAAGAACAAAGAAAAGGUAGACAAAUGGGCCCAAAUGAACUUCAUUAAUGAGAAAAAAA
rnacentral:lncRNA from 1 species